rnacentral:rRNA from 1 species
UACGUAGGUGGCAAGCGUUGUCCGGAUUUAUUGGGCGUAAAGAGCGUGUAGGCGGCUUUACAGGUCCGUUGUGAAAACUCGAGGCUCAACCUCGAGACGCCGGUGGAAACCGUAAGGCUAGAGUCCGGAAGAGGAGAGUGGAAUUCCUGGUGUAGCGGUGAAAUGCGUAGAUAUCGUAAGGAAGACCAGUGGCGAAGGCGGGUCUCUGGACAGUUCCGUGACGCUGAGGCACGAAGGCCAGGGGAGCAAACGGG